rnacentral:rRNA from 1 species
GCAGUCGACGAAGCUCUGCGAUACAAGACUUCGGUCAAGUUGAGCGGAUGACUUAGUGGCGGACGGGUGAGUAACGCGUGAGGAACCUGCCUUUCAGUGGGGGACAACAGUUGGAAACGACUGCUAAUACCGCAUAAUGUAUUCUGACCGCAUGAUCGGAAUACCAAAGAUUUAUUGCUGAAAGAUGGCCUCGCGUCUGAUUAGAUAGUUGGUGAGGUAACGGCCCACCAAGUCGACGAUCAGUAGCCGGACUGAGAGGUUGAACGGCCACAUUGGGACUGAGAUACGGCCCAGACUCCUACGGGAGGCAGCAGUGGGGAAUAUUGGGCAAUGGGGGAAACCCUGACCCAGCAACGCCGCGUGAAGGAAGAAGGCUUUCGGGUUGUAAACUUCUUUUACCAGGGACGAAGGACGUGACGGUACCUGGAGAAAAAGCCACGGCUAACUACGUGCCAGCAGCCGCGGUAAUACGUAGGUGGCAAGCGUUGUCCGGAUUUACUGGGUGUAAAGGGCGUGUAGGCGGANAAGCAAGUCAGAAGUGAAUCCAUGGGCUUAACCAUGAACUGCUUUUGAACUGUUU